AGCCGCGAACGGGUGAGUAACACGUGGGUUACCUGCCUCGAUGACCGGACAACCCGAGGAAACUCGGGCUAAUACCGGAUGUGCCCGCAAGGGGAAAGGAAGCUUCGGCCUCCGCAUCGAGAUGGGCCCGCGGCCCAUUAGCUUGUUGGUGAGGUAACGGCUCACCAAGGCUUCGAUGGGUAGCUGGUCUGAGAGGACGAUCAGCCACACUGGGACUGAGACACGGCCCAG
rnacentral:rRNA from 1 species